rnacentral:lncRNA from 1 species
UAGUAUUUCAAAAAUUCAAAGUUUUGUAUACAGUUAUAAUUAUGACCAUAUCAAUGAUAAUUUACAUGUUUAACAUUUUAUAUAAAUCUUUAUUUGCAGAUUCUUAUGAGGCUAAUUGACUGGUGGCAGAUGGGAUAAAAAUGUAUGUAAUAUAAAGUGGCAUUAAGGCCAUGAAGACAGACUGUAUUAUAACAUUUUGAAGUUGCAAUAUGAGUUUGACGAAGGCCCACGUUUAAUCCCUUAUUGACAAUUGCAGAACUCUGGCCAACAGAUUUCACAUUAGGUAUUUAAAAUGUUUAAUCAUUUAAUCAUAUUGAUAAUUAGACAGAGGCUUUACUUAAACAAGUUUCUUUCAAAACAAAGUAAACAUGGUAAAGGCAAAGUGUACACAAUUAACUACUUCAUUGAAUUAUUUAUGCCCCCGCCGUAAUGGUGGGGCAUUAAGUUUUAUCCCUGUCUGUCUGUACAUACGUCCGUCCGUCCCAAAGUUGGUUUCCGUUCUCUUACUUUAGUUUGCCUCAACCAAAUGUCAUGAAACUUAUACACAAUGCCAUUUACCACAAAACACAAAUCAAGUUUGAAUUUUGGUGGCGUCACUUUAACGGUUCUAUAGUCAUAGAGUUAUGCCCCUUUACAAAUGGAAAAAUUGCUGAAUUUUCAUUUUCGUUCUCUUACUUUAGUUUGCCUCAACCCAAUGUUAUGAAACUUAUACACAAUGCUUAUUACCACAAAACACAGAUCAAGUUUGAAUUUUAGGGGUGUCAAUAUUACUGUUCUAUAAUAUUAUAUGAUAUGCAAGCGGGGAUAUCAUCUGCAUGAUCUGUGUCACAUGGACUCAUUCCCCAUUUAUUUAAUUAUUACAUAUUUGGAUUUGGCUUGUAAAAAUACACCAGAAAAUGAAAUAAAAAAGGGGUUAACCGUCUUUUUUGAAACACGAGAUUUUGAAAAUAACAAUAUAAUAUGCCAAAAAUAAAUAGAAUUAUAUAUAAGGGAAACUGAUGAAAUUUUUAUUCUAUUUUAUUAAUCCACAGAGUUUUUACAUGGUCGUUAUUCUAUUUUAUUAAUCCACAGAGUUUUUACAUGGUCGUUAUUCUAUAUUAUUAAUCCACAGAUUUUUUACAUGGUGGUUAUUCUAUUUUAUUAAUCCACAAAGUUUUUACAUGGUGGUUAUUCUAUUUUAUUAAUCCACAGAGUUUUUACAUCCAUGGUGGUUAUGUUAUUCUAUUUUAUUAAUCCACAGAGUUUUUACAUGGUCGUUAUUCUAUUUUAUUAAUCCACAGAGUUUUUACAUGGUGGUUAUUCUAUUUUAUUAAUCCACAAAGUUUUUACAUGGUGGUUAUUCUAUUUUAUUAAUCCACAGAGUUUUUACAUCCAUGGUGGUUAUUCUAUUUUAUUAAUCCACAGAGUUUUUACAUGGUGGUUAUUCUAUUUUAUUAAUCCACAGAGUUUUUACAUGGUCGUUAUUCUAUUUUAUUAAUCCACAGAGUUUUACAUGGUGGUUAUUCUAUUUUAUUAAUCCACAGAGUUUUUACAUGGUCGUUAUUCUAUUUUAUUAAUCCACAGAGUUUUUACAUGGUGGUUAUUCUAUUUUAUUUAUUUUAUUUAUUAAUCCACAGAGUUUUUACAUGGUCGUUAUUCUAUUUUAUUAAUCCACAGAGUUUUUACAUGGUCGUUAUUCUAUUUUAUUAAUCCACAGAGUUUUACAUGGUCGUUAUUCUAUUUUAUUAAUCCACAGAGUUUUUACAUGGUGGUUAUUCUAUUUUAUUAAUCCACAGAGUUUUUACAUGGUGGUUAUUCUAUUUUAUUAAUCCACAGAGUUUUUACAUGGUCGUUAUUCUAUUUUAUUAAUCUACAGAGUUUUUUACAUGGUGGUUAUUCUAUUUUUAUUAAUCCACAGAGUUUUUACAUGGUCGUUAUUCUAUUUUAUUAAUCCACAGAGUUUUUACAUGGUCGUUAUUCUAUUUUGUUAAUCCACAGAGUUUUUACAUGGUGGUUAUUCUAUUUUAUUAAUCCACAGAGUUUUUACAUCCAUGGUGGUUAUUCUAUUUUAUUAAUCCACAGAGUUUUUACAUGGUGGUCAUGGUGGUUAUUCUAUUUUAUUAAUCUACAGAGUUUUUACAUGGUGGUUAUUCUAUUUUAUUAAUCCAUAGAGUUUUUACAUGGUGGUUAUUCUAUUUUAUUAAUCAACAGAGUUUUUACAUGGUCGUUAUUCUAUUUUAUUAAUCCACAGAGUUUUUACAUGGUCGUUAUUCUAUUUUAUUAAUCCACAGAGUUUUACAUGGUCGUUAUUUCUAUUUUAUUAAUCCACAGAUUUUUACAUGGUCGUUAUUCUAUUUUAUUAAUCCACAGAGUUUUUUACAUGGUCGUAUUCUAUUUUAUUAAUCCACAGAGUUUUUACAUGGUCGUUAUUCUAUUUUAUUAAUCCACAGUUUUUACAUGGUCGUUUAUUCUAUUUUAUUAAUCCACAGAGUUUUUACAUGGUCGUUAUUCUAUUUUAUUAAUCCACAGAGUUUUUACAUGGUCGUUAUUCUAUAUUAUUAAUCCACAGAGUUUUUUACAUGGUCGUUAUUCUAUUUUAUUAAUCCACAGAGUUUUUUACAUGGUGGUUAUUCUAUUUUAUUAAUCCACAGAGUUUUACAUGGUGGUUAUUCUAUUUUAUUAAUCCACAGAGUUUUUACAUGGUCGUUAUUCUAUUUUAUUAAUCCACAGAGUUUUUACAUGGUUAUUCUAUUUUAUUAAUCCACAGAGUUUUUACAUGGUUAUUCUAUUUUAUUAAUCCACAGAGUUUUUACAUGGUCGUUAUUCUAUUUUAUUAAUCCACAGAGUUUUUACAUGGUCGUUAUUCUAUUUUAUUAAUCCACAGAGUUUUACAUGGUCGUUAUUCUAUUUUAUUAAUCCACAGAGUUUUUACAUGGUCGUUAUUCUAUUUUAUUUAAUCCACAGAGUUUUUACAUGGUCGUUAUUCUAUUUUAUUAAUCCACAGAGUUUUUACAUGGUCGUUAUUCUAUUUUAUUAAUCCACAGAGUUUUUACAUGGUGGUUAUUCUAUUUUAUUAAUCCACAGAGUUUUUACAUGGUCGUUAUUCUAUUUUAUUAAUCCACAGAGUUUUACAUGGUCGUUAUUCUAUUUUUUUAAUCCACAGAGUUUUUACAUGGUCGUUGUUCUAUUUAUUAAUCCACAGAGUUUUUUACAUGGUCGUUAUUCUAUUAUAUUAAUCCAUAGAGUUUUUACAUGGUCGUUAUUCUAUUUUAUUAAUCCACAGAGUUUGUACAUGGUCGUUAUUCUAUUUUAUUAAUCCACAGAGUUUUUACAUGUUCGUUAUUCUGUUUUAUUAAUCCACAGAGUUUUUACAUGGUCGUUUUUCUAUUUUAUUAAUCUACAGAGUUUUUACAUGGUCGUUAUUCUAUUUUAUUAAGCCACAGAGUUUUUACAUGGUCGUUAUUCAUGUUAUUCUAUUUUAUUAAUCCACAGAGUUUUUACAUGGUCCGUUAUUCUACAUUAGUAAUCCACAGAGUUUUUACAUAGUCGUUAUUCUAUUUUAUUAAUCCACAGAGUUUUUACAUGGUCGUUAUUCUAUUUUAUUAAUCCACAGAGUUUUUACAUGGUCGUUAUUCUAUUUUAUUAAUCCACAGAGUUUUACAUGGUCGUUAUUCUAUUUUAUUAAUCCACAGAAAUAAUAUGCAUUUUGUGCUUAAAACUGAGAAAAAUCACAAAAAAUACAAAAUUAACAGCAUGGUAAAUUUUACUCAAAAAAGCGUCUAAAUAUGAUAAAACUUUCUUAAUUUAACACCUACCUAUUGUUUUUUGUAAGUAAAAUUUAUUCAGAUUGGUCCACUUCAUCCUUAUAGAAAGUAUGAAAAAAAGUUUAAUUGUGGAACUGUGAUUUUUUUUACGAUAAUAGCCCAAAAUCAGGUAAAAAUCGAUGAAAAAUGGGAAAAUCAUCAAAAUUGGGCAUUUUCAAAGGGCUGUAGCAAAAAAAGUAGUGCACCACCAUUUGAUUUUUUCUUCACCAAUAUUUUUGUUACAGUCUUAUAAACGCAAAAAUCAGGUUAAGAAAAAAAGUUUAAUUCUAGAAAUUUUUGGCUCCUCAGAGGUGUACAUCCUUAACCUUUAGCGGCGACAUUAUUGAUGUGUACAUUGACGUCACCUUGCACAAUUUAUAUGCUCUAUAAUGUAUAGAUAUAAGCAAAGCUAAUAAACUAUUGUGCCUUGCCACAUGAAGAGCGUGAGUGUGUAACAGCCUUUUUGCUAUUAAUUACUUAUAUGCUUUAACUUAAAAAGCUUAUUUAAAAGCGUAUACUGUUCAAUUGAUUAGAAAGUUAGCUGACUUAAAUUUUUAUUGAAUACUUUUGCUGCCUAAAAAAUGCAAAUUGGCAUAAUAAAUGUACUGCAAGUGAUAAAAAAGAAAAUUACUGUUGGCUUCCAAUAGUCAAUUUCGAUCAUCAUUGUACAGUCAGGGGACUUUUUAAAUCACUGAUUCAAGUAACAUUGUGUCCACAAAUGUUGGAAGUUAGAGUUGUCUUUCUUUAAUAAUCACUUAUUUAAGUAGUACAAAUAAAUCACUAGACUAACAUGACUAAGUGAUGUAAUUUUAUUGUAGCUCUAAAUGUACAAUACUAAUUAUCAGAACCAACAUCUGUGUUGAUAAGAUCAUGACCGGUCAUGUCAGGUGAUGACCUUGUACUAAAUCUGGGAUAAUGACAUGAAAAAUCACUUGUUUAAAAAAUUGAAAACAACACGUUUAAUAAUUUCAUGCGUCCGAAGUGCUUCUCUGGAUUUACCUUCAUCAGGAACGCUCAAAGCCAAACAUUCGAAAUCCGAGAAUGUAUAAGUACUGAAACAGUUGAAGAGCUAUAUGACAAAAAAUACCGAAAACAAAUAGCCAAAUUCAUCUAAGGUCAACUUUGCCUGAGUGAGUUGAAACCUUAGUUUCUUUAUAAUUUCAAAAUUUAUAAACGAACAAUUUUAGAAAAGUUUGUUAUAAAUCAUGUCAGUACCGAAGUUUAAGUAUCAUACCUCUAUUUUCUUCCAAAAAAUCACUUCUUUAAGCAUUAUUAUUUUAAUAACCCCCACUAAUUUCAACACCCCCCUUAUUUUUCCACCUCCCACCCCCCCCCCCCCCCCCCAUCAAACUUUCAUUAAUUUUCAUGAUUAUAUUUUAUGUUUUUUUGUUUCUUGUAGUUAAUGCCCCUUAAAAAUAUUUCUCAUCAAAUUACAACUCUUGUGUACAAACAUGAUAAAAUGUUGUGUUUUUCUUUUACAGGAUAUAAUGGCAAGUUGGGAUCAGGUAAGAUUUUCUUCUUAAAAAUGUCAAUGGUCAUGUGACUUAUGUUGUCUAUAAACUGUACAUAAAGAUACAGGAGUGUAGUAUUCUCAGAGUCAGUCAGUGUCAUGUGUUAUAUGUCAUGUGACCUAUGUUGUCUAUAAACUGUACAUAAAGAUACAGGCGUGCAGUAUUCUCAGAGUCAGUGUCAUGUGACCUAUGUCAUGUGACCUAUGUUGUCUAUAAACUGUACAUAAAGAUACAGGAGUGCAGUAUUCUCAGAGUCAGUCAGUGUCAUGUGACCUACAAAAUGUAUGUCAUGUGAUCUAUCUUGUCUACAAACUGUACAUAAAGAUACAGGCGUGCGGUAUUCUCAGAGUCAGUCAGUGUCAUGUGACCUAUGUCAUGUGAUCUAUGUUGUCUACAAACUGUACAUAAAGAUACAGGCGUGCAGUAUUCUCAGAGUCAGUCAGUGUCAUGUGACCUAUGUCAUGUGACUUAUGUUGUCUAUAAAAUGUACAUAAAGAUACGAUACAGGCGUGCAGUAUUCUCAGUCAGUCAGUGUCAUGUGACCUAUGUCAUGUGACUUAUGUUGUCUAUAAAAUGUACAUAAAGAUACGAUACAGGCGUGCAGUAUUCUCAGAGUCAGUCAGUGUCAUGUGACCUAUGUCAUGUGACUUAUGUUGUCUUUAAAAUGUACAUAAAGAUACAGGUGUGUAAUAUUCUCAGAGUCAGUCAGUGUCAUGUGACUUAUGUUUUCUAUAAAAUGUACAUAAAGAUACAGGUGUGUAAUAUUCUCAGAGUCAGUCAGUGUCAUGUGACCUAUGUCAUGUGACCUAUGUUAUAAAGAUACAGGCGUGCAGUAUUCUCAGGGGGAGAACAGGAGAAAUCAAAAUGACUACAGUGAACAGAAUUUCAAUAUACAAAAUUCCAGGAGACAAAAAAAAGAAACGUAAGAUAUUGUAGGACAUUCACAACUCUUUAAGUCGAAGAGAAUCUGACAACGCCAUGGAAAAAAAAUGAAAAACAAACAAAAUUCAACAGUCUACAUUAGUCAUUUCAGGGCCUUUUAUAGCUGACUAUGCCAUAUGGGCUUUGAUCAUUGUUGAAGGCUGUACAGUGACCUAUAGUUGUUAUUUUCUGUGUCAUUUUGUCUAUUUUGUAAAAUUGUCUCAUUCAUGUCAUUGGCAAUCAUACCACGUCUUCUUUUUAUAUUCAAAACAUUACAUAAAAAACUAAAGACCGAGCAACACAAACCUCAACAAAAACUUAGGCUGAUCUCAAAACUGAUGCAUAAUACAAUUGUCUACAGACUUUUCUAAAAAAAAACUCUGAAAUUAUACACAACAAUUUCACUCCUUCUUGCUUGUAAUUUGAUUUUUUACUUUAUUUGCGAUAAUACUGUAAAUGUUGAAAAACUGUAAAAAAAUAUAGAACCAAGUAUCAAAAGUCAGUAAUAUAAAAAUAGACAAUUGCUUUUACAUAUUUAAAACAACUCUGUAUAGACUUUCUGAUUGGUCCUAACAAAGCUUUGUUUUGCUUACAGAAACUUCUUACAGCUGCAGAGUUGGGGAAUAUAAAAGAGGUAGAAUUAUGUAUAAAGAACAGAGCUAACUUGGAAUGUAGAGAUUGUAAGUAAAGUAAAAUGUUUAACACAUUUACAGAUAUUUAUUAUAUAGUACACAUAAUGUGGAUCAGUUAAACACUGCCCUUGUUAGUGUUCAGUGAUUCAGUGUACAUUCUAUUUAUUGCAAAUACUCUUGUCUUCAAAAUAUUAAGAAACAUAGUAUUAUGAUAUAUUGUGAUUAACUUUAUUACACUGAUGAAUACCACUCCAGUUUGUAUGUCAAAGAGUUGCUGUCUGAUACUUCGUAACUGUAUACAACUGAAAUAUUGUGAUUUACUUUAUUACACGUAACAUAGUAUUCUACACAAAAAACAUUACUUUGGUUAAAAAAAAUCUUGCAUGACCAUGACUUGAGACAUGACACCUGAUCAUACAACUUUCAUUGACCACUCCUGUUCUAAACAUGACAAUUUGACACCUGAUUCUACAACAUUCAUUAACCACUUCUGUACUGAACAUAACAUGUGACACCUGAUCAUAAAACCUGCAUUUACCACUCUUGAACUGAACAUGACAUGUGACCCAUUUACCACUCCUGUACUGAACAUGACAUGUGACACAUGAUUAUACAACAUUCAUUUACCACUCUUGUACUGAACAUGACAUGUGACACCUGAUCAUACAACAUACAUUUACCACUCCUGUACUGAACAUGACAUGUGACACCUGAUCAUACAACAUUCAUUUACCACUCUUGUACUAAACAUGACAUGUGACACUGAUUAUACAACAUUCAUUUACCACUCCUAUACUGAACAAGACAUGUAACACCUGAUUAUACAACAUUCAUUAACCACUCCUGUACUAAACAUGACAUGUGACACAUGAUUAUACAACAUUCAUUUACCACUCUUGUACUGAACAUGACAUGUGCCACCUGAUCAUACAACAUACAUUUACCACUCCUGUACUGAACAUAACAUGUGACACCUGAUCAUACAACAUGCAUAUGCCACUCCUGUACUGAACAUGACAUAACACCAGAUCAUUCAUUUACCACUCCAGUACUAAACAUGACAUGUGACACCUGAUUAUACAACAUUCAUUAACCACGCCUGUACUGAACAUGAUAUGUAACACCUGAUUAUACAACAUUCAUUUACCACUCCUGUACUGAACAUGACAUGUGACACCUGAUCAUACAACAUGCAUUUACCACUCCUGUACUGAACAUGACAUGUGACACCUGAUCAUACACAUGAACUGUACUGACAUGACAUGUGACACCUGAUCAUACCAACAUUCAUUUUUACCACUGUUGUACUGAACAUGACAUGUGACACCUGACAUCAUACAACAUCAUUUACCACUCUUGUACUGAACAUGACAUGUGACACUGAUCAUACAACAUUCAUUUACCACUCUUGUACUGAACAUGACAUGUGACACCUGAUCAUACAACAUAUAAUUACCACUCCUGUACUGAACAUGACAUGUGACACCUGAUCAUACAACACAUUCAUUUACCACUCCUUGUACUGAACAUGACAUGUGACACCUGAUCAUACAACCAUGCAUUUACCACUCCUGUACUGAACAUGACAUGUGACACCUGAUCAUACAACAUUCAUUUACCACUCUAGUACUAAACAUGACACGUGUCACCUGAUCAUACCACAUUCAUUAACCACUCCUGUACUAAACAUGACAUGUACACCUGAUCAUACAACCAUUCAUUUACCACUCCUGUACUGAACAUGACAUGUGACACCUGAUCAUACACCAUGCAUUUACCACUCCUGUACUGAACAUGACAUGUGACACCUGAUCAUAGAACUUUCAUUUACCACUCUUGUACUGAACAUGACAUGUGACACCUGAUCAUAAAACUUUCAUUUACCACUCUUGUACUGAACAUGACAUAACACCAGAUCAUACAACAUUCAUUUGAACACCCUGAUUAUGCUACAUACAUUUACCACUCCUGUACUGAACAUGACAUGUGACACCAUUGCUAUAUUACCCUUACACUCACUACAAACAUAUAUUGCAUAACCAUUGCUCUUAUACUCAGUAACACAUGCACGUGGUCACCCGCCCCCAGCAAUACUCAGUGGGCAAACAGCUUAUUUCAGUUUCUAUACCACCAUGGAGAGUCAUAGCUGUACAUGUAGCCAGAAUACAUGAUGCACAUUUUAGGAUAGCUUACACCAUUGAUCAUACAUUUUUAUUGCCAAAUUGCAUAUUUUAAACACCCACCAUGUCUAACACUUAUAGAAAUACUGUUAUAUAAACAUACAUUCUGACAUAGAUAUUAUUUAAAAGAAUUUUUUCUUACAUGCAAUUGUUAAUUCUUAAUAUUAGUUAUAUAUAUUUAAAAUAAAUGAAUUAUUUGGCUUUAAAUGAAUGUUAAGAGUGUGACCAAUCUAGACAGAUGGGUGAUUUACUAGAUUUUUAGGAUAAUUUUGAGAAAGGCUUUCUCUAUUUAUAUUGUCUAAUGUGUCUUCAUGUACACUUGUCUCAGAGUUGCUAGAAUAAUACACUCAAAUGUAUAUAUACAUUUGUAUUAUAAGUCUCUUAAACGAUUAUGAGACUUAUUUAUAAACAAAUGUGUUACAUAUAAUUAUAUCUUUAAUGUAUUGCAUUGUGUUUAAUCACUGAAUCCUCUUCAAAAAUUUAGGCCAGCAUUUCAUAUUACCCAGUAUUGCCCAGUAUUACCCGGUAAAACCCAGUAAAACCCGGGUUUUGUCCACUCUGCAAUACUCACCCGGGUUUUUUGCACACACCAUUGCUAUAUUACCCCUUAUAUACACAGCACAAACAUACCAUUGCUAUAUUACACUUAUACUCACCACAUACACCAUUGCUAUAUUACCUUUAUACUCAGCACAAACAUUCACCAUUGCUAUAUUACCCUUAUACUCAGCACACACAUACACCAUUGCUAUAUUACCAUUUAUACUCACCACACACAUACACCAUUGCUAUAUUACCGUUAUACUCACCACAAAUAUACACCAUUGCUAUAUUACCCUUAUACUCAGCACAAACAUACACCAUUGCUAUAUUACCCUUAUACUCAGCACAAACAUACAUCAUUGCUAUAUUACCCUUAUACUCACCACAUACACAAUUGCUAUAAUACCCUUAUACUCACCACAAACAUACACCAUUGAUAUAUUACCCUUAUACUCAGCACAAACAUACAUCAUUGCUAUAUUACCCUUACACUCAUCAAAAACAUCUAUUGUUUUAUUACCCUUAUACUCACCAAAACAUACACCAUUGCUAUAUUAGCCUCACACUUAAUACAAACAUACACCAUUGCUAUAUUACCCUUACACUCACCACAAAUAUACACCAUUGCUAUAUUACCCUUAUACUCACCACAAACAUACACCAUUGCUAUUUUACCCUUAUACUCACCAUAAAGAUACUAUAUUGCUAUAUUACCCUUAUACUCAACACAAACAUUCACCAUUGCUAUAAUACCCUCAUACUUAGCACAAACAUACACCAUUGCUAUAUUACCCUUAUACUCACCACAAACAUUCACCAUUGCUAUAUUACCCUUAUACUCACCACAAACAUACACCAUUGCUAUAUUACCGUUAUACUCACCAAAAACAUACACCAUUGCUAUAUUACCCUUAUACUCACCACAAACAUACACCAUUAGUAUAUUACCCUUAUACUCACCAAAAACAUACACCAUUGCUAUAUUACCCUUAUACUCAGCACAAACACACCAUUGCUAUAUUACCCUUAUACUCACCACAAACAUACUCCAUUGCUAUAUUACCCUUAUACUCACCACAACAUACACCAUUGCUAUAUUACCCUUACACACCACCACAAACAUACACCAUUGCUAUAUUACCCUUAUACUCACCACAACAUUGCUCAAUUAAUUUUAUUAUAUACUCCCACAAACACACACCAUUGCUAUAUUACCCUUAUACACAACAACUCAUAAGAUAUGAAGCAGCCAACAUUUUACACGGAAAUACCACUAAAUAUUUUCUAAGCUUUGAUCAUUAUUUUGAAUCGACACAAAAUACUGUUAAUCAGACAGGUUUAAUGGACAACACAUAUUUGUUAGAAUUAUAUAAAGUGGGAUCUCAUUUUAUUCGUAACACAGAACUGAAUCAGAUAGUUAAGGUUUUAUUUUGUUUCCUUGACGAAAAAUUAUUUUGUAAACAUCUGAUUUUAAUGAGAAGUUGAUGAGAAAAAGUUGUGUUAACAUCUUUAGUCAGAUAAUGUUAAUUCUACAGAUCUAAUGUAAAACAUCUUUUAAAAAUAACAAAUACUUGACAGAAUUAUAUAAAGUGGGGUCUUAUUUUUCUUGUCUCUUCGUACUGAAUCAGAAAAAUAUACUCGUUUUAAUGUUUCUUGAAUUUUUUUUUUUUUUUAACUUUGAUCAUUCUACUUAAUCAUUGUUAAUCAGACAGAUUUAAUGGACAACAAAUAUUUGUUAGAAUUAUAUAAAGUGGGGUCUCAUUUUAAUUGUCUUGUCCAGCUGAGUCCAUUGAUAUAAAUAUUGUUUAUGUUUCUAGAAAAAAGUUUUUUUUUAACCUGACAGUUCUGAUGGAAGUUCUGACAUCUCACAAUAAAACAUGUUGUUUAUUUGUUGUUUAUGUAGAAUAUAAAUACAAGUGUGACUGGUCAUUUUAUUCAGUUUUGACCACUGAUUCAUGUGAUAUAUAUUUUGUUUAUAUUUAUUACACAACAUUGUCCAGUUUAUGACACAAGUUUUGAUGUCUGUUAUAUGUUGAUAUUACAGGAUGGAAUGACACCAUUAAUGUUGGCGGCUUGGGAAGGACACCUGGAGGUAGUGACUUACUAGUCACUCACGGAAGUCAGUUAGAAGCCACAGACAGGUAAUGAUAGAUAUAAUCACCUUACUCUGACCAAACAUCACUUUAUACAGAAUCUACACAAAAUCAUGUUGUUAAUCAGACAGGUUUAAUGGACAACAAAUAUUUGUUAGAAUUAUAUAAAGUGGGGUCUCAUUUUAUUCGUAACACAGAACUGAAUCAGAUAGUUAAGGUUUUAUUUUGUUUCCUGACGAAAAAAUUAUUUUGUAAACAUCUGAUUUUAAUGAGAAGUUGAAGAGAAAAAGUUGUGUUAACAUCUUUAGUCAGAUAAUGUUAAUUCUACAGAUUUAAUGUAAAAACAUCUUUUAAAAAUAACAAAUACUUGACAGAAUUAUAUAAAGUGGGGUCUUAUUUUUCUUGUCUCUUCGUACUGAAUCAGAAAAUAUUACUCGUUUUAAUGUUUCUUGAAUUUUUUUUUUUUAAACUUUUGAUCAUUCUACAUAAUCAAUUGUUAAUCAGACAGAUUUAAUGGACAACAAAUAUUUGUUAGAAUUAUAUAAAGUGGGGUCUCAUUUUAAUUGUCUUGUCCAGCUGAGUCCAUUGAUAUAAAUAUUGUUUAUGUUUCUAGAAAAAGUUUUUUUUUAACCUGACAGUUCUGAUGGAAGUUCUGACAUCUCACAAUAAAACAUGUUGUUUAUUUGUUGUUUAUGUAGAAUAUAAAUACAAGUGUGACUGGUCAUUUUAUUCAGUUUUGACCACUGAUUCAUGUGAUAUAUAUAUUUUGUUUAUAUUUAUUACACAACAUUGUCCAGUUUAUGACACAAGUUUUGAUGUCUGUUAUAUGUUGAUAUUACAGAGAGGAAGGACACCAUUAAUGUUGGCGGCUGGGGAGGACACCUGGAGGUGGUGACUUUCCUAGUCACUCACGGAAGUCAGUUAGAAGCUACAGACAAGG